rnacentral:tRNA from 1 species
GCUUCUUCAGCUCAGUUGGUUAGAGCGCUGCACCGGAAUCGCAGGGCCGCAGGUUCGAUUCCUGCCAUGCAAGGACCU